ACUGUGGGGGAGGGAAAAGUCUGAUCCACCAGGAUCACGUCCCCCAAAGGAGGCCAGAUUCAGGAGGCUGGGUCCUGCUUACCUGCCGCCAGGGGGGCUGUGUUCUCACUUCACUCAGUCCUUGUGGUGCAACUAAACCCAAGCCAAGCAGGGGUGGCCGAAGCUGUCCCAAGAUGAGUGAGGUAGAACCCUGGACACCGUGGACAUUGCUGUGGUUGUGGAGAAGAACCUGAACCAAGCCCUUCUGGGUCUUCAUACCCUGGUUCUGCCUGUGCAGACCCCUGUCUCUGUGACGUCCUGGAGAAUCACUUCACAGAUGAGGAGGUGAAACUCAGCAAGAAUUUGGGGAUCCACCUGACAGACUGGCUGCCGUUGGGCCGUUUAAACAGUGCUGGAGUGAUCCAUCCCUUAAAGGUUUGGUGGAACCUGAGGGGCCAACCUCAGCCUGCAGCUGGCACCUGAAAAGAAGGCCUCAGUGACUCAGAUGAUUGAUCCCAGCAGGGCAGUUUCCGUGGAGCCGACCAUAAGCCUCAGAGAUGCAGACUCCCACGUCCUUGGGGUGGGACUCUCCCUCCCUCCAUCCUGGAUCUUCUUGCUGGUCGAGCCUAGCCCGCCAGAGAGGAGGAUCACAUGUCGGAGUGUAUGUGUCUGUUGUCUGUUUGGGCAGCUGGGUCUCCCCCCGCCCCAGCCUCCGCCGCAGCUCUCUGCUGUUCUGUCCGUGGGGGUCCAGGCGGCCGUGGUACUUCUGCCCACCCUGGUUGCCCUCCGCUGCAGCACCUUGUGUCCCGCGACCAGUAGCCGACCGCCAGGCUCCAGUCUGUGUCUGCCAAGGACGCAUCUUCCCAACACUUCCCCGUGACAACCUCAGGUGGAAGCAAUUUCACCGUCUUGUAACUCACCGGGUCAUUAUAAUUAGUAUCCCGGCGCCCAGGGCGAGGGCGGAAGAAAGGAAAGAAAAGACUCGAUCCAGCCAGGCGAAGAGCAGCAGCCUCUGGGGGCUGGGGCGGCCUUUCCUCCUGCUCCAGCUCGUAACUCAGAUUUUCUCAGGACUGAUUCCAUCACGUCCCUCCCCUCCGUGUGUGCAAGGUGGGAGGUGGUCGAGGAGUCAGGCACUGCUCCGCUGGGCCCUGGGCAUACACAGCGGGAGUCUCUGACCUGAGUGAGGCUCCCCUGCCCCCUGAGAGCCCACAUCUGAGGCUGGGGUCCACGGUGAGGGCCCUGCAGGGAGAGAUCAGUACCUCCCACAUCCCCGUGGACCCUCCCUGCCUCUGGGUCCCUGCAGCCCCAGAGCCAGAGCCCAUCAAGAGCUGGUGAUGGUGACCAUGGGCACAGCUGGGUUCCACCCCAGGCACAGCUAGGAUAGGUAUGACUCUGAGAGAAGCAGCCAGGUGGGGGAACAGGACGUGUCAGGGAGCAAGAUUUCCCAUCAGGUUGGUCAAGGCUUUUUGGUUGCAAGCAACAGAAAUAGACUGACUCAAGGGAGGGAAUUUAGGGACUUCCCUGGUGGUCCAGUGAUUCAGAUCCACCUUGCAAUGCAGGGGACACGGGUUCGAUCCCCGGUCGGGGAACUAGGAUCCCACAUCCGGCGAGACAGCUAAGCCCGUGUGCUAGCACUACCGAGUCCUCACCCUCCAGAGCCUGCCAGCCGCAACUAGCGAGGCCAUGCAUCACGAUGAAAGGUCCUGCUUGACACAACGAAGACCCAAGGCCGCCAAAGAAGCACAUGCAUGCAUAAAUAU
ensembl:lncRNA